UCCUUGGUGAGCUCCUGGAUAUGGCUGUUUGAAGAAGGUCACACCAUCCAUAAUUAUACCUGUGAAACCAAGCAAGUCAUUGGAGGGACCAUAUGGAAUAGAAAAUUCCUCACAUCUUCGCAUCAAGAACAGCGAUGCCAAAGUGGUCCAUCUGGUGUGUAAAGCUGCAGGGUGGUACCCAGAGCCUGAGGCAAGCUGGAAAGCUCUAAGAAAAUAAUUUAAAGCCACACUCUAAAGGUGACAGCACAAAUGGAAAAAGUUUAUUCUCCAAUGAAUCUUUAAUCCUGGUAACUGAACUCAAAAAGACUGUGCUCUCUGUUCCAUCCUCAUCUCCAGGCUCAACCAGAAAAAGGGGACAACUAUUCCUGUUUCAGAAAAUAAAAAGUGGAGUUCAACAAGCCAAAAGUACAAUACAAGCAUACCUCUGAGAUAUUGCAGGUUCAGUUCCAGACCACGGCAAUAAGGCAAAUAUUGCAAUAAAGCACG